rnacentral:rRNA from 1 species
UGGGUAACCUGCCUCAAAGAGGGGAAUAGCCUCCCGGAAAAGGGAGAUUAAUACCGCAUAAUAUGUUUAAGUCGCAUGACUUUAACAUCAAAGGAUUUUCUUUUAAGAAAUUCCACUUUGAGAUGGACCCGCGGCGCAUUAGCUAGUUGGUGAGGUAACGGCUCACCAAGGCGACGACGGGUAGCUGGUCUGAGAGGAUGGCCAGCCACAGUUGGGACUGACGACGACCGGCCCAGACCUCCCGAGGGACGG